UGUUGGUGAUGUGGGCUGUCCCUGAGAAGAUAUUUGAACCUCUCCCAUGCUUGAUAUAAAUUCUCAUCCUUCUAUUUAAAACUGAGAAUUUCACUACUUAACCU